UGUUAAGAAAAAAAGGCGCGUUCAGCAUGAUCAAAAUAAAAAACAACUGUAGAGUGUUAUUAAUGCGAACGGACGUGUAUUUUCCGAUAGUUUUGUUGUACAAGAAAGGGGUCGCGAGAGUAGUCGUCGGUUCACGAUUAAGUCCAGGAUUUACCAACUGGCCUAUUGAGCAGCCUAUCGGGAGGAUAGAUACCUUUUGGUGGUCUAAGAGGAAUGAAUUCUCCUAAGUAGAAGUGAUAAGGGGCAACCGAUUAAUCACUUAGAUAGCUAAAAUGUGAAUAUAGGAUAUCUUAAAGGUUUUCACUUACAUUCGUAUGUACGAAACUUAUGCUGGAUGGAUUAACUUGAAAUUUAUAUACCAAACAUGAAAUUAUUUGGAACGAAGAUCCAUAAAUAAUUCGGUUUGACUUGACUUUCGGUUCCAGAAUGAUGGUAUUUUUAAUAAUUAAAAAAUUCAUAUAAAUACGCAUAUCUAACGAAAAUAAAUAAUUCUAUAAAAAUUGUAUAAUGAAUACAAUUUCUACAGGAAUAUUUAAGAUAGUGUAACAGGCAUUACCGUGAACUACAUCGGUCAUAUUUAUUUUGUAAAAGUAAAAAUGUAGUUUAUUUUAUGUUCUAUCACUGAAUAUUCAGUGCGUUUUUUUACAACAUAUUGUACGUUCCAAAGGAAGUGAUUUUUUACUUGUCACAUGCAUUAACUUCUAUUCAAUAUGGCGGCCGGGUCAACGUUCGAAUUAGCGUCUUUAUAACUGUAACGUAAAAUUCUGAACCUUUUAUCACAUUUUUACUGUUGUCACUAUGGCAAUUUCGUAAUCAAAUUUGCAAAUAUUUGGUUACAAUAAUCCAUCCUUGAGGAAUGUUAAUAGUUAAUAAAAGUGCAUGUUGUCUUA